CACCAGUUAGCCAAGUGGUUAAGGCUUUGGAUCGCCAAUUCGGAGACGGCUGGAUCGAUUCCCGUUCUGGUCG
rfam:Aedes albopictus isolate Foshan contig6617, whole genome shotgun sequence.